GUCACGGGGUCGGUGUCGUUUUUCGAAAUUUGUUAACUUAAUAUAAUAGAAGAUGUUUCGUUUUAAAUUAAGAAAUGUUAAAAUUAUUAAGUUAAAAACAUUUGAUUUUAAUGACACUUAAAAUUAGACACAAUAUUAUAGGUUACUAACUAAAAAUUGAAAAAACAACAAUCAAUAAUAAAAAAUAAUAAUAAAAAAUUGAAAAAAUCAAAAAAUUCUUAAAAAAUUGCAAAAUAACCCUUUUUCGGGUUAAAAUUGAAAAAAGAUGUUGGAUAAAAAUAGUUUCUAAGAUUUUCUAACAGCAUAUAUGCAAAGUAUUUUGAUUUAUUUGAAAAUAAUUGAAAAUAGAUUUUUCAAGGACGGUGUCGAUGUCACGGGGUCGGUGUCGUUUUUCGAAAUUUGUUAACUUAAUAUAAUAGAAGAUGUUUCGUUUUAAAUUAAGAAAUGUUAAAAUUAUUAAGUUAAAAACAUUUGAUUUUAAUGACACUUAAAAUUAGACACAAUAUUAUAGGUUACUAACUAAAAAUUGAAAAAACAACAAUCAAUAAUAAAAAAUAAUAAUAAAAAAUUGAAAAAAUCAAAAAAUUCUUAAAAAAUUGCAAAAUAACCCUUUUUAGGGUUAAAAUUGAAAAAAGAUGUUGGAUAAAAAUAGUUUCUAAGAUUUUCUAACAGCAUAUAUGCAAAGUAUUUUGAUUUAUUUGAAAAUAAUUGAAAAUAGAUUUUUCAAGGACGGUGUCGAUGUCACGGGGUCGGUGUCGUUUUUCGAAAUUUGUUAACUUAAUAUAAUAGAAGAUGUUUCGUUUUAAAUUAAGGAAUGUUAAAAUUAUUAAGUUAAAAACAUUUGAUUUUAAUGACACUUAAAAUUAGACACAAUAUUAUAGGUUACUAACUAAAAAUUGAAAAAACAACAAUAAAUAAUAAAAAAUAAUAAUAAAAAA